rnacentral:rRNA from 1 species
GAUGAACGCUGGCGGCGUGCCUAAUACAUGCAAGUCGAGCGAACAGACGAGGAGCUUGCUCCUCUGACGUUAGCGGCGGACGGGUGAGUAACACGUGGAUAACCUACCUAUAAGACUGGGAUAACUUCGGGAAACCGGAGCUAAUACCGGAUAAUAUAUUGAACCGCAUGGUUCAAUAGUGAAAGACGGUUUUGCUGUCACUUAUAGAUGGAUCCGCGCCGCAUUAGCUAGUUGGUAAGGUAACGGCUUACCAAGGCGACGAUGCGUAGCCGACCUGAGAGGGUGAUCGGCCACACUGGAGCUGAGACACGGUCCAGACUCCUACGGGAGGCAGCAGUAGGGAAUCUUCCGCAAUGGGCGAAAGCCUGACGGAGCAACGCCGCGUGAGUGAUGAAGGUCUUCGGAUCGUAAAACUCUGUUAUUAGGGAAGAACAAAUGUGUAAGUACCUAUGCACGUCUUGACGGUACCUAAUCAGAAAGCCACGGCUAACUACGUG